rnacentral:piRNA from 1 species
UGUCAAGACUUGGCAAUUGCUUGGGU